AGAGUUUGAUCCUGGCUCAGAACGAACGCUGGCGGCGUGCCUAACACAUGCAAGUCGAACGGAUCAAGCAAGGAGCAUAGAGCAAAGAGCAAAGGGUUUUGGACUCUAAUCUCUAUGCUCCAUGCUCUUUGCUUGGUUAGUGGCGGACGGGUGAGUAACACGUAGGUAACCAACCCUCAAGCGGGGGACAACUCUUCGAAAGGAGAGCUAAUACCGCAUAAGACCACGAACUGGGAUGUUUGUGGUAAAAGGAGCAAUUCACUUGAGGAUGGGCCUGCGGCCUAUCAGGUAGUUGGCGGGGUAACGGCCCACCAAGCCUAAGACGGGUAGCCGGACUGAGAGGUUGAACGGCCACACUGGAACUGAGACACGGUCCAGACUCCUACGGGAGGCAGCAGUGGGGAAUUUUGCGCAAUGGGGGAAACCCUGACGCAGCGACGCCGCGUGGAGGAUGAAGGUCUUCGGAUUGUAAACUCCUUUUGUCGGGGAAGAUAAUGACGGUACCCGAUGAAUAAGCCACGGCUAACUCUGUGCCAGCAGCCGCGGUAAGACAGAGGUGGCAAGCGUUGUUCGGAAUUACUGGGCUUAAAGGGCGCGUAGGCGGUGGAGUAAGUCUGAGGUGGAAGAUUAGGGCUUAACCCUAAAAUUGCCUUGGAAACUGCAUCACUUGAGUAAGCGAGGGGAUGGC
rnacentral:rRNA from 1 species